GACGAACGCUGGCGGCGUGCUUAACACAUGCAAGUCGAACGGAAAGGCCCUGCUUUUGUGGGUUGCUCGAGUGGCGAACGCGUGAGUAACACGUGAGUAACCUGCCCUUGACUUUGGGAUAACUUCAGGAAACUGGGGCUAAUACCGGAUAUGAUCUCCUGCUGCAUGUUGGGGGUUGGAAAAUUUCGGCGUUUGGGGAUGGACUCGCGGGUUAUCAGCUUGUUGGUGUGGUAGUUGCUUACCACGGCUUUGACGGGUAGCCGGCAUGAGAGGGUGACCGGGGACAUUGGGACUACGAGACGGACCAGAAGGCUAUGGGAGGCAGCAGUCGAGAACAUGGCGCAACGAGGCGACGCCUGAUGCAGAAACGCUGGGUGCGUGAUAACGGCUUACGGGUUGUAAACCGAUUUCGAAGGUGACGAAGCGUGAGCGACGGUAAUGGGUAAAGAAGCCACGGCUAACUACGUG
rnacentral:rRNA from 1 species